UGACGACCGGCGCACGGGUCGCGGAACGCGUAUCGGAACCUCGCCCCUCGUCAGGGGAACAGCCCAGAGAAACCCGGACCAUCGCCCCAUCGGUAACACCUAUCGCACGAUACCGCGCCCAAGACCCUCGGACAGGGACGGCCACGCGUACCACCAGUCAGACGGUGAGGUAACGGCCCACCAUAACAACGAUGGUUAGGGGCCCUCGAGAGGGGGACCCCCCACACUCGGUACCGAGACACGGACCAGACCCCUACGGGAGGCAGCAGUGAGGAAUACCGGACAACGGGCGGGAGCCCGACCCAGCCACGCCGCGUGCAGGAUGACCGCCCUACGGGUUGUAAACCGCCCCCAUACGGGAAGAAACGCACCUACGAGUAGGUGUCUGACGGUACCGUAAGAAUAAGGACCGGCUAACUCCCGUGCCAGCAGCCGCGGUAAUACGGAAGGUCCGAGCGUUAUCCGGAAUCAUUUGGGUUUUAAAGGGUCCGUAGGUGGGCCAUUUAAGUCAGGGGUGAAAGUCUGCGGCUCAACCGUAGAAUUUGCCUUUCGAUACUGGUGGUCUUUGAGUCGUUGUGGGGUUGCCGGAACAUGUGGUGUAGCGGUGAAUGCAUAGAUAUCACAUAGAAACACCGAUCGCGAAGGCAGGUGACCAACAAACGUAC
rnacentral:rRNA from 1 species